UACAGAGGUGGCAAGCGUUGUUCGGAAUUACUGGGCGUAAAGAGCGCGCAGGCGGCCAAGUCAGUCGAAUGUGAAAGCCCCCGGCUUAACUGGGGAGGGUCAUUCGAUACUGCUCGGCUCGAAGACAGGAGAGGGAAGCGGAAUUCCCGGUGUAGUGGUGAAAUGCGUAGAUAUCGGGAGGAACACCAGUGGCGAAGGCGGCUUUCUGGCCUGUUCUUGACGCUGAGGCGCGAAAGCUAGGGGAGCAAACGGG
rnacentral:rRNA from 1 species